GACGAACGCUGGCGGCGUGCCUAACACAUGCAAGUCGAACGGAAAGGCCUCUUUCGGGCGGUACUCGAGUGGCGAACGGGUGAGUAACACGUGAGUAACCUGCCCUUGACUUUGGGAUAACUUCAGGAAACUGGGGCUAAUACCGGAUAGGAGCUCCUGCUGCAUGGUGGGGGCUGGAAAGUUUCGGCGGUUGGGUAUGGCUUCGCGGCGUAUCAGCUUGUUUGUGGGGUAGUGGCUUACCAAGGCGUUGACGCGUAGCCGGCCGGAGAGGGUGAUCAGUCACACGGGAGCUGAGACACGGGCCAGACGCCUAAGGGAGGCAGCAGUGGGGAAUGGUGGGCAAUGGGCGAAAGCCUGACCCAGCGAGGCGGCGUGUGUGAAGAAGGUCCUCGGAUGGGAAAGCACGUUUAGGGGUGAGGAACCGCAUUAAGUUAAUACAUGGCUUUUUUGACGGGACGUGGAGAAAAAGCCACGGCUAAAUUCGUG
rnacentral:rRNA from 1 species